CCUGGUGCGGUCACGUGACUCACAACAGGAGAGACGCAAUUGGUUCAGUCAGUUCUAUUUGUUACGUUAAUUCUUCAGUCCUUGCUGCCGUUACUAGAUGUUUGAUGUAGUGGAGAAGGAAAUGGAUAAAGUAUGGACGUAGAAAAAUAGCCUUAUCAGUUACAUUUCUACAGUUGAAGUAUCGCUAACAAGGAGCUUUGUCUUCAAAGACACACUGAAUGGAAGAGAGAAGUGAAGAGCCGGACAUAUUGGGACUGACUACGUGAAAAUGACUAUGUCGCAUCAAUACCUCUGCCAUGGAUGGGAGUUGGCAGGAUGCCCUGUCAAACCUUCACCUCAGGAUAAUUUAGUAGAUUUAGUCAUCACAAAAUAAAGGAGUAGUAUGCUGAGGCAGCUCA